CCUACGGGAGGCAGCAGUGGGGAAUAUUGCACAAUGGGGGAAACCCUGAUGCAGCGACGCCGCGUGAAGGAAGAAGGAUUUCGGUAUGUAAACUUCUAUCAGCAGGGAAGAAAAUGACGGUACCUGACUAAGAAGCCCCGGCGAACUACGUGCCAGCAGCCGCGGUAAUACGUAGGGGGCAAGCGUUAUCCGGAUUUACUGGGGGUACAGGGAGCGUAGGCGGUUUAGCAAGUCAGAAGUGAAAGCCCGGGGCUCAACUCCGGGACUGCUUUUGAAACUGUUGAACUAGAUUGCAGGAGAGGUCAGUGUCAUUCCUAGUGUAGCGGUGACCUGCUUAGCUAUUCGGAGGAACCCCAGUGGCGAAGGCGGCUUACUGGACUGUACCUGACGCUGAGGCUCGACCGCGUGGGGCGCAAACAGGAUUAGAUACCCUUGUAGUC
rnacentral:rRNA from 1 species